AGAAGAGAAAAAUUUCCGGUGCACCUUCAGUAGGCGGAGAUAGGAAGGACGGAGGAAGAGGAAGGUGAUUCCUGUGUGCUCUGGAAAAUUCGAAAAAAACUCAGAGGGAGGAAGAGAAAAGAAAUGGCGGUGGGCCAUCCAUAAACUACUGAGCCCAAAUCUUGGUUCAGGAACUCUCUUACCCAAAAAAUCAUGUGUGGCAUCAAAAGGUCGGACAUUUGAUGAAACUCUUGGAGAGCAUUAAAUGGUUGAAAGGCAUGCAUUUCAAGUUCUUAUACAUCUCAAGGGCAUGCCCUUGACUUCCCUCCCUUCAAGCGCCAUCGGAUGUGCACACUCAUAACACCAACGUGUUGCUUCACUUGACAUCUAAAUGUGCGAGGAAGGCAGACCUCAGAAUCAUCAAUGUCUUCUUGACUACUUGAUUUGUUCAAACAAUUAUUGUGUCUCCACUCUUCCAAGUCUUCUCUACAGAUCACACGCCAUCCACAACCUCCUAUCUUGAGCAUCUCACG